AUGAACGCUGGCGGCGUGCCUAAUACAUGCAAGUCGAGCGAACGGACGAGAAGCUUGCUUCUCUGAUGUUAGCGGCGGACGGGUGAGUAACACGUGGAUAACCUACCUAUAAGACUGGGAUAACUUCGGGAAACCGGAGCUAAUACCGGAUAAUAUUUUGAACCGCAUGGUUCAAAAGUGAAAGACGGUCUUGCUGUCACUUAUAGAUGGAUCCGCGCUGCAUUAGCUAGUUGGUAAGGUAACGGCUUACCAAGGCAACGAUGCAUAGCCGACCUGAGAGGGUGAUCGGCCACACUGGAACUGAGACACGGUCCAGACUCCUACGGGAGGCAGCAGUAGGGAAUCUUCCGCAAUGGGCGAAAGCCUGACGGAGCAACGCCGCGUGAGUGAUGAAGGUCUUCGGAUCGUAAAACUCUGUUAUUAGGGAAGAACAUAUGUGUAAGUAACUGUGCACAUCUGGACGGUACCUAAUCAGAAAGCCACGGCUAACUACGU
rnacentral:rRNA from 1 species